CUCCCCUGGUCUCCAUCACUCUUUAUAGAGUGUUGAUCAGCCCUAUAUGGAGAUGGGCCAUGUCAGGACAUGAAUUAGACUGAUUAUUUCAAAAGAUCUGUAUUUGGGGCUAGAGGUGUAUACCUCUUUUGACCUAUCAGGCUCGUUCUAACAACAGGCUAUUCCAGGGUGGACAGAGGAGGGGAGAAAUUGGCUGCAUUGAAAGCCCACUUGAUCAUAGGGCAGUCUCAGGCACUGUAGUCAUCUAAAAAUGCCAAGCAUGUAUAUUUGACCAAUGGGAAUUAAUCCAAUUAUAUAUUUUAACGUGCACUGACACAAAGUAAGUUAGUUCCAAAAACAGUUUUAAACGUUGAAACCAUAAGUAAUGUAUGUCCGUUUUUUGUUUUUGAAAUACCCCGUUAUACUUUGCUCAUUGUGAACACUUGGGGGUGACAUAAGAAAGUGUUGUUGCAGUGCGUAAACUCACAAUAGGGUUCUUAUGACAAGUGCAGCUGUCUUUUGUUCACCAAGACAAGGUCACUCUUCUAUGCAUUGUAACAGCUACUGAAGUAUUAAACUCGACCUCAUCUUGUUGACGUGACAGUUUCUUUCCCUUUGUCCUUGAUGACAAAAAUAACCCUGUGAAAUUGUUCUUUGGGUGUACAGUUUAUGAAGAGCCCAUAAUUCAAUUAAUUUAAGCCACAAAUGGAGCAAAGUAUGAAAAUGUAUGAACUCACUACUGUAAGUCGUUCUGGAUGAGAGCGUCUGAUAAAAUGUAAACUGCCUAAAUAAAGGAAAGGCCAACAUAAAGUGUCCUAAUAGGAGCGUUGGGCCACAACAACCUGCCAGAACAUAGAUUCUACAAGUCUCUGGAACACUAUUGGAGGGAUGCGACACCAUUUCUUCCAGGACAAAUUACAUCAUUUGGUGUUUAGUUGACGGUAGUGAUAAACUCUGUCUCAGGCGCUGCUCCAGAAUCUCACGUAAGUGUUCAGUUGGGUUGAGAUCUGGUGACUGAGACACACACACCCUUUAAACCCCCUAUGCUCCUUUGAGACCCCUCUUUCAAAGUCACUGACAUGUUUUCUUCUAGCCAUGGUAGUCAAAAAGAAAUGGGCAACUGGGCAUUUUUAUACAUGACCCUAAGCAUGAUAGGGUUUUAAUUGCUUAACUAACUUAGGAAACACACCUAUGUGGAAGCACCUGCUUUCAAUAUACUUUGUAUCCUUCAUUUAUUCAAGUGUUUCCUUUAUUUUGGCAGUUAGAUGUACAUGUCACUUUCAAGAAACUCAUGCUAGUUUUAACAAGGGGGACUCAAAAUGUAAAAAUGUUUUAAAUAACUUGUGUAAGGUGCUGACUAAUCAAGUUAGAAACGUCUGUGUAGAGUAGUAUGUAAGGUGCUGACUAAUCAAGUUAGAAAUGUCUGUGUAGAGUAGUAUGUAAGGUGUUGACCCAAGGGACAUAAUAAGGUCUUAGAUUUGUAGUAACGUGCUGUUAAAGGUCAAGAUGGCUGUCAGUGCAUUAGUGUGAAGCUGUCUACAAGUUGUCUAUGAGGUGAUAAUACUAUAUAAGUGGUUGUCAUCACCAGAGUUUCCCUCCUUAGACCUCUUCAGGAGCACCUUUGACUCCUACUAUUUCACACCUUGGGCAUUCAGCCUUGAGGUUCUUUACUUUACUUCCACAUGCUACUCCUCAAUGACACUGUUAGGUGUCCAAUUCCCAGCUGUCGGGAAUUUAAUUCCUGUCACUACAGGAGGGAACACAUACUGAUCAUGACAAAACAGUCCGUUUUUACCCUAAAACCAUAUCAGUAGAUGGUUAAAAACAAAUGAUAUUCUCUCUCUCGAAGAUGGAUUUCAAAAGAAGCAACGUAUUGUAAGCCAAGACUAUCACUAUUCUUCACCACGAGGAGAAUGUAACACCCUGCAACCCAUCAGCUAAUACAUUUAUUUAUUUUCUUCUUUUUUACCCCCUUUUUCUCCCCAAUUUCGUGGUGUCCAAUUGUUUUUUAGUAGCUACUAUCUUGUCUCAUCGCUACAACUCCCAUACGGGCUCGGGAGAGACGAAGGUCGAAAGCCAUGCGUCUUCCGAUACACAACCCAACCAAGCCGCACUGCUUCUUUUUUUUUUUUAAAUGUUAUUUAUUUUUUAUGCCAUUUAGCAGACGCUUUUAUCCAAAGCGACUUACAGUAAUGUGUGCAUACAUUCUACGUAUGGGUGGUCCCGGGAAUCGAACCCACUACCCUGGCGUUACAAGCGCCAUGCUCUACCAACUGAGCUACAGAAGGACCACAGCGCACAUCCAACCCGGAAGCCAGCCGCACCAAUGUGUCGGAGGAAACACCGUGCCCCUAGCAACCUGGUCAGCGUGCACUGCGCCCGGCCCACCAUAGGAGUCGCUAGUGCGCGAUGAGACAUGGAUAUCCCUACUGGCCUAACCCGGACAACGCUAGGCCAAUUGUGCGUCACCCGGCUGCGACAAAGCCUGGGCUCGAACCCAGAGUCUGGUGGCACACAGCUAAUACAUUUGAAGCCUAAAAAAUUGACCAUGACCCACAACCCUCAAAUGUUUGAAUUAAGCAGUUAGCCCCAAGGAGGUGUGGUAUAUUGGCCAUAUACCGCAAACCCCCGAGGUGUCUUAUUGCUAUUAUUAACUGGUUACCAACAUAAUUAGAACAGUAAACAAGUAAUUUUGUGUCAUACACGUGGUAUAUUUAAGCAAAAAGGCCCAGGGGGUGUGUAGUAUAUGGAUAAUAUACCACAGCUAAGGGCUGUUCUUACGCAGUGCCAUGGUAUAUUGGCCAUAUACUACAAGAUCCUUAUGGCUAUUAUAAACUGGUUACCAACGUAAUCAGCACUAAAAUCAGUAAAAAUACAUGUUUUGUCAAACAUGUAGUAUACAUUCUGAUAUACCACGGCUGUCAGCCAGUCAGCAUUCAGGGCUCGAACCACCCAGUUUAUAAUGUCUAAUAUACCAUGGCCUUCAGCAUCUAGGACCCAAACUACCUGGUUUAUAAUAUAAAAUAUAUGCAAUUUAACAGACGCUUUUAUCUACAACGACUCAACGUGCUUAUGCUCCCGGGAAUCUAAUCACCCAUUCUGGUGUUGCAAGUGCCAUGCUCUACCAACUGAGCAACAAAGGACCACACUCUCUCUCAUCAAGCUCCUUACUUAGUCUCAAUACUUGAGCAGUCUAUUCUAGGCUCAACCUUUCUUUAUACGUCCUCAUUCUCAGCUGUCCAGUCUUCUCGUGUUAUCAACACUGUGUUCUCUCUGUCAGAUAGAAGGAAUGAUGGCUGGACACCUUACCACUGUUCUGCUGUGUAACCUGAUUCUCCUUUGCAUUUCAAGGACUGCACUAUCUUUAGGAUGUCCAUGCAUCUGUUGUGACACAAAGGUCGUUGAAAACUCACAUCUCAGUGUUUGUCUUUGUCCUUGGCAUUGCUGUUAACGCUCUGAUGCUAUUGGGCUUGUGCUAUUCCCAUACUGUAGAUGCUUUAACAGAACAAACUGUCAUCGAAAUGUGUUGCACUAUAAAUGUAACUGAUUGUUGGUUUUAGAAUGAUUUUGAAAGCUGAGUUUAAAGUGAAGGUUGUAAGAAAGAUUGUUGUUUGUCACUUGCAUUUCUGUGUAAACCCAAUACAGUGGUGAACCUCCUUGUACAGUAAAGUAGCUAUCUACAUUUGUUCAUUGACUGGCAAAUUGUUUACUCUGUCACCUCGCAGAUAUUGAAUAUUAGACAGUUUUGCCGAAUUUUGUCACACUUAGUUUUUUAUUUGUGGGGUAACUGAAGACUCCCUUUGGAACUGCUGGCUGUUUUAAAGUGUUGUAUACUGUUUUAAAGUGUUGUACUACAGUAUGGCUUACUAACAAUUGACAGGAUAACAGACGUGUCCUGUUUGGACUCAGGCAGUUACGGUGUAGUAUUAACCUUAUUUGUAUCAGAUGUAGAAGGUGUUUCUUACAACCUUCAUUUUAAACUCAGCUUUCAAAAUCAUUCUAAAACCAACAAUCAGUUACAUUUAUAGUGCAACACAUUUCGAUGACAGUUUGUUCUGUUAAAGCAUCUACAGUAUGGGAUGGGACUCUCCUCCAUGUGACUCACAGAUGCAGGUCCAGCCUCUUGCAUUGGGAGACCUCCUGUCAGGGACUCCAAACAUGACCACACACAAGAGAUGGAUAGUUUUGAAGAAAAUACACUCAUUUAUUUUUAUAGAAUUUACCAUAGAACGUUAGAUAUUCAUUGAAUUCCCAUCGGGACGGAGGGUAACUUUUAAACCAGCUGAUUUGUGUGAUAAACUUUUUUUUAUUUUCUCAAUUUGAUCUUACUGUCACGCCCUGACCAUAGAGAGCCAUUGUUUCUCUAUGGUGUAGUAGGUCAGGGUGUGAAUAGGGGGUGAUCUAGUAUAUCUAUGUCAAUGUUGUGUUCUAGUUUCUUUUUCUAUGUUAGUGUUCUGUAUGAUUCCCAAUUAGAAGCAGCUGGUAAUCGUUGUCUCUAAUUGGGGUUCAUAUUUAAGUAGUUAUUUUUCCCACCUGUGUUUGUGGGAUCUUGUUUAUGUGUAGUUGCCUGUGAGCACUUCAUUGUCUUCACGUUUCGUUCAUUCUUUAUUGUUUUAUGCGUUUCAGUUAAUAAACAUGUGGUAACCAUA